GUGCCAGCAGUCGCGGUAAUACUUUGGGCGCAAACGUAAAUCCUCGUUAUUAGGUCUAAAACGUCCGCAGAAGAUCAGCAUAAUUUUAAUAAUUAGAUUUAUCUAACUAUUAGAAUUGAUUAGAGUUUUAUAAAGGCAGCUUAAAGAAGAUACUUGAGAAGAGGUUAAAUUUGUUGAUACAAUAUUGACUACCAAAUGCGAAGGCAUUCUGCUAGGUAAAAACUGACUUUCAUGGACGAAGGUAUGGUGACUAAAAAAGAAUUAGAGACUCUUGUAUUCCAUACUGUCAACUAUGAGAAUUAGGGAUUAGAUACUUACAAAGAAUUAUUUAGACCCGUAGUGAAGACGUUAAAUUCUCUACCUGAAGACUACAAGCGCAAGCUUCAAAUUCAAGACAAUAGGCGGUUAGGGGCAUCAGUAGUGGAACAUGUUAUUUAAU
rnacentral:rRNA from 1 species